rnacentral:lncRNA from 1 species
CAUCAUGAAUCGAUGAUUAUGGAUGUCUUUAGAAGGUCCCUUGAAGCUGCAUAAGCAUCCGGCCUCUAUAGGUAUCCACAUGAGACCUUGAUCUGAUCAGAAGCUUUUUGAUCUCAUCAGGAUGCUAGCUCUCUUACAGAGAUCGCAUCUUGAUGGUUGAACAAGACUCUUCUUUUCUCUUAAGAUCUUCUUAGAGAAGAAGAAGAAUAAU